AAAAAAAUUAUUUAUGGCGAAUGUUUUUCAAUUGUACCAGUUUAAAUAGAACAGUUAAUAUGCCAAUUUAAAUGCUCGAAAAUACAAUAAAUAAGUCAUGCAGUUUGGAGUUAAAUAAGUACCGUAAGAUUCUACCCAAGGAGGUUUAAUAAACAGGAGACGCCGUAGUAUAUACUUUAUAUAAAAUGCGCUGAAGCUAGUUUUGUAAAUCAGCUGCUAUCUUGGUUAACCCAAAACAUUGUUAUGUUUUGAACGGAACUUUAUAUCUUUUGUAGAAAAUUUUGCUGAAAUUAAGUCAAAACUGAUAUAAAUGAUUGAAUAAUUUGCUAGUUGUUUCCUAGUCUAUCUUAUACCACAAAGAAUUGUUUGCUAACUAAUUAUCGGUUUCAGCUUAUUCCAAAAUAUUGGAAUACUGAAGUAGACAUUCAGAUAGUAAACACGCUAUUAGCAUAUGCCAUAUUUUAUACAGUGUGAUCAUCUUGGAACAAAAUCAUCUAUGAAACAAAAAAAACUUAUUUUAUUUUCUUGGAGUUCAAUUUCUUUUGUAUUAUGAUAUUUGCAAUGCAGAGUUUUUCUGUAACUAGUUCAAAUUUUUCGACAAGCUAUUAAACCAAAAUCUUUGGCAUAUGAAACACUGAUGAUUCUAAGAGAAUCUACAAA